rnacentral:lncRNA from 1 species
CUAUGAUAGUCAUGAAUCGGGAUUAAGCUUGGUACUACCUCUUUGUUUUUUUUUAUUGUUGAAGAAUAAUGGAUAGUUUCUGAAUAUUGAGAAGUGAGUCUAUGGAAUAAAUCAGAGAUUGAUUUAUGAGUUAUUGAUUAUGUAAUUGGAAUACUGAGUAAUUGAAUUAUAUGAGGAGUUAUUAGAUGAUUAUGAUUGUUGUUUAUUGAGAGUUGUGUGUGUUUUGGACAGAGGAAGUCUGUGAUUAUAGAAAUUAUGUGAAUUUAGAUUGGUUGGAGUGAAGUCUGUUAAUUCUGGUGUUGGAUGGAAAUUAUGUGUUUUGAGCGGUCUUUUGAGAGUGCAGGGUUGCAUAUUGUUGUUAUCAAUUGAUGAAGGAGUAUUAUUAUUGGAAGAAAGUAUUAUAAUAUUUUUUGGUAUUUUAGUGGUUCGGAAUAUGAUUAAUUGUGUCACCCUAACAAGUAAAAUUCAUGCACUUAGACUUUCUCUAUGUUCAAAUUUUCCUAUAUAAGUUUAUUCUAAAAGAAAUUGUAGAAUAAGUAAAACAACAAUGAUAUUUUGGUGCCGCUACCAGAGAUAGACAAUAGCAUUGAGUGUUAGGAAUUAACUGCCA